rnacentral:rRNA from 1 species
CAGACGAGGAGCUUGCUCCUUUGACGUUAGCGGCGGACGGGUGAGUAACACGUGGGUAACCUACCUAUAAGACUGGGAUAACUUCGGGAAACCGGAGCUAAUACCGGAUAAUAUUUCGAACCGCAUGGUUCGAUAGUGAAAGAUGGCUCUGCUAUCACUUAUAGAUGGACCUGCGCCGUAUUAGCUAGUUGGUAAGGUAACGGCUUACCAAGGCAACGAUACGUAGCCGACCUGAGAGGGUGAUCGGCCACACUGGAACUGAGACACGGUCCAGACUCCUACGGGAGGCAGCAGUAGGGAAUCUUCCGCAAUGGGCGAAAGCCUGACGGAGCAACGCCGCGUGAGUGAUGAAGGUCUUCGGAUCGUAAAACUCUGUUAUUAGGGAAGAACAAACGUGUAAGUAACUGUGCACGUCUUGACGGUACCUAAUCAGAAAGCCACGGCUAACUACGUGCCAGCAGCCGCGGUAAUACGUAGGUGGCAAGCGUUAUCCGGAAUUAUUGGGCGUAAAGCGCGCGUAGGCGGUUUUUUAAGUCUGAUGUGAAAGCCCACGGCUCAACCGUGGAGGGUCAUUGGAAACUGGAAAACUUGAGUGCAGAAGAGGAAAGUGGAAUUCCAUGUGUAGCGGUGAAAUGCGCAGAGAUAUGGAGGAACACCAGUGGCGAAGGCGACUUUCUGGUCUGUAACUGACGCUGAUGUGCGAAAGCGUGGGGAUCAAACAGGAUUAGAUACCCUGGGUAGUCCACGCCGUAAACGAUGAGUGCUAAGUG